GCACAACGCGAAGAACCUUACCACCUUUGACAUGUACGGAAUCCUUUAGAGAUAGAGGAGUGCUCGAAAGAGAGCCGUAACACAGGUGCUGCAUGGCUGUCGUCAGCUCGUGUCGUGAGAUGUUGGGUUAAGUCCCGCAACGAGCGCAACCCUUGCCAUUAGUUGCUACAUUUAGUUGAGCACUCUAAUGGGACUGCCGGUGACAAACCGGAGGAAGGUGGGGAUGACGUCAAGUCCUCAUGGCCCUUAUAGGUGGGGCUACACACGUCAUACAAUGGCUGGUACAAAGGGUUGCCAACCCGCGAGGGGGAGCUAAUCCCAUAAAGCCAGUCGUAGUCCGGAUCGCAGUCUGCAACUCGACUGCGUGAAGUCGGAAUCGCUAGUAAUCGUGGAUCAGAAUGUCACGGUGAAUACGUUCCCGGGUCUUGUACACACCG
rnacentral:rRNA from 1 species